UACGGUGGGGGCAAGCGUUGUUCGGAAUUACUGGGCGUAAAGGGCUCGUAGGCGGCCAACUAAGUCAGACGUGAAAUCCCUCGGCUUAACCGGGGAACUGCGUCUGAUACUGGAUGGCUAGAGGUUGGGAGAGGGAUGCGGAAUUCCAGGUGUAGCGGCGAAAUGCGUAGAUAUCUGGAGGAACACCGGUGGCGAAGGCGGCAUCCUGGACCAAUUCUGACGCUGAGGAGCGAAAGCCAGGGGAGCAAACGGG
rnacentral:rRNA from 1 species